CGGGUUGAAACAAAUUUGUAUUAAGUUUCGGCCUUAAUUUAUAAGUACAUUCUUACAAUCCGUCC
rnacentral:tRNA from 1 species